rnacentral:rRNA from 1 species
GACAGAGGAUGCAAGCGUUAUCCGGAAUCAUUGGGCGUAAAGAGCGUGUAGGCGGCCACUUAAGUCCUGCGUGAAAUCUUGCGGCUCAACCGCAAGCGGUCGUGGGAAACUGGGUGGCUAGAGUGCGGGAGAGGAGAGUGGAAUUCCUGGUGUAGCGGUGGAAUGCGCAGAUAUCAGGAAGAACACCCGUGGCGAAGGCGGCUCUCUGGAACGCAACUGACGCUGAGACGCGAAAGCGUGGGGAGCAAACAGG